rnacentral:lncRNA from 1 species
GAGUUUUGUAACCUGGGAGACUAAGCACACAUUUGUAAACAAAGGAAGUUUAUGUAGUCUAAGCACACAUAUGUAACCAAGAUAGUUUAGACAGUCUAAGAACAUAUGUAAAUUGAGGAAGUUUAGACAGUCUAAGCACACAUAUGUAAAUUUAAGAAGGGAAGUCCUAAGUUGGUUAGCCUAUAGGAUCACAUCUGUACAAUACCCGGUAACCGUUCCUCAGAUAGAGGGGUUACACGUGGUAUGAGUGCUCAGGUCAUCAUAUCCUUUCACUACCCAUUACCUUCCCCUUAGUGGUUAUAGAAGCGAGUUUAAUUUAAUGAACUCUAAGCGUGCUUUAUCCCUCCGCUCCCUGUGGUCCUGGAGGUUUUUAGGACCUCUAAUUAUAGGCAACUCUAAACUUUCUUAAGGUGUCUAAAGGGUAAAAUUUAAGCGACAACAAAAAACAUAUAGGACUAUCAAAUAUAGAAUCAGUUAAGAGGCUCAUAUUUACCUCCACACAUAAAAAAAUAAGUAGUACGUUAAAGAACAUUAGAAGGCACUAGAACAUGAUAUCUAGAUGAGCAUCACAACACAUAAUAUGCAGCAUCCGUUUUAAACUAAACGGCAGAAUCCUAAUCAGUUUGUCCACUGAUUUUUAGGCUUCUUAAACCUGGACAAUUUUACAAACAAACAGAGCAUAAUUUCAUAGGUUUCUACGCCAUUAAUUACCUAAGGCUUGCCUAGGAGCAGGUCUCUAUGCCAUCAUAACUAUGGGAACAAAUUAAAACAAUUUCGAAGUUAUUCAUUCCUAUAGCAUGCUGAUCUAGACGAUUAAUGUUACAAAACUGAUUUCAUGUAUGUUUACACUAGAACAUGAUAUUUACGUGUUGGGCUAUUUCAAAUUUUUUUAAAUUUAUUUAAGCGCUAAAGAUAUGAUUUAGAGCAAAUGUAAACAGAGUCCUAAAGCAGGGUUUCUAAUGAACAUAGAGAGAUGGUCAUUUUAUUAAUCAUGAUUAUAGUAAUAACUUAAUGGCAAGAUUCCCAAGCGGUAACAACUUAUGCAAAAUCAGAAAUGAAAUGAUGAACUAUAACAUAUUUUCUAAUAUCCAAUGGCCGUAAAUGUGAGUAUCCUAAGACAUGAUUUCUAAUGCAAACAACACAGACCUAAAGCAUGAUUACUAUUGCAGAUAAAAACAACAUAAUCCUAAAGCAUAUUUGUAUUACGAAUCAUAAUAUAAACCUAAAGAAGGAUUUCUACCCGGUUUCUCACAAAAAUCAUAUAGGAACCCUCCUCCAUUUUACUAAUUACCUCAAUAUCUGUUUACAAAGAAUAUUAUUAUAGAUCAAGAUCAAAUGAAUUACAUAAAUAAAACUAUACAGUAGGCAGCCUAAAUUAGGCCCAAAGUAACUUGGAAAUGCCAGGCCUUCAAUACAGUUUUAGAAGCCAAAGAUCUCACAGCCAAUAGUGUGUCCUAGUGUGUAAAAGUUCCUUAUGGACUUCAAGGAUCCCAGGCAAUGCUCACACCAAGACAUUUCCCAAAUAGAGGACUGGUUAUGUGCCCCGUAGAAGGGCCAGCACUGAUGUGCUAGAGUUUAGAGGAAUCUCAAGGAUCCCUAAGCAGUACACACACCAAAGGGGCAGAACCUAAUAGUCUAAGAGUAAAGUGAAAGUGCUUGACAUAGUGUUGAAAAACUUAGUAAAAUAGUGUAGAGACAAUUUUAGAAGUGAAAAGUUUCAGAAAUGGAAAAACAGUUUUAAAAAGAAUCUAGGAGUGACUAGGUUUAAGAAGAAUACUAAGAGUAGAAGAAACUGUUUUGAAAUCAUUUUUUGAGGAAAGCAUAUUCAACAAACAACCAAUUAAUCAUAGAAUACUCAGAUUCACAAACACUUAACAAGCAGAUUUACAAACAUGGGAUUGGGAACAUAUAGAGUUAAAACCAUAUAAACAAGGAAACAUUUAAGACAACAAAUGCACAGAACAACUAGGAAUCCACUGAACAAAUCAGUCAUAGUAGUAGACAGUUAAAGCAUAGAGAAGGAAUGUAGCAGAAUUAUAUUAAAGACAAGGGUAUGUUGGACAAAAAUGGACAUACAAUUAGGGAGACAAGGUAACUAAAAUGGUCACACCAGUUUGGGGGGGGGGGUAAGCAGUGAAUAAGUAAACAUGCUGGACAAGUAUCAAAGAACCAAGUAAAGUUUAGACAUGCUGAUUACACAUUGAGCAAGAGAAGUCAUAAUUUAGACAUGCUGAAUAAAGCAAUAAACAAGGAAAUUGAGUAACAUAGCCAAUUGAACUAGUGCAGGAAAGGAACCCAUAGAGUUUGAGUUUCAAUAUUUAACUAGAGACAUACCAGUUAAAGAAGAAAGUGGAGAAUGUAAAGUAGGUGUAGUUCCAAUGUCUAGCCUUGGCUUUUAGCCGGCUAGACCAAUAAUUAUCACAAGUAAAAGAGAAAGAAGAUAGAGUUUGAGUGUGAGUGUGUGUAUUCUGAACUUAGUUCAUCCCUUGAGAGGUAAAAUAAGAUUGCUUAUAUAGAAGUUAAAGAGUUGCAAAAAGAAGGUAAAACAAUCAGAAAUUAGUCAGUUAAGGGCAGUCAUAGGGUCACAGAAUCAUUUAACAUAGGGGAGUCUUGAAUAUACCCUCUAAUUAGGGGUAAUUGAGUAACUAUAAAAACAUGGGUUUAAUUAUGGCAAAAGAGACCUGACCAUACUAAAUAAAGAAUCAAUAAGAAUCCCAAAGUUAUACGGGCAUUUGAUUAAGGCAGAGAUGACCUAUUAAGGUUAAAAACAAUGAAAAAAGGUCUAUGCAUACGAAUUUUCAAUAGAGUAAAGGAAUUAGCAAGACUUUCAAAAGAAUACUUAUUUUCGAAAAGAAUUACUCAACUUCCAUAAAUAGAAUCAGAUUGAGUAAAACCUCACAGAAACAUAGAACUUAGUCGGAAAAGCAGGUUCAAGUCCUAACAGAGAUUAAUUAGGGUGAAGACCACAAAAUACUUGACUUGACAAAGAAGAUAUGCAAAUCAAAAAAAUACAGAGCAAAUUAAUGCGAUUGGUAACAUGGAAAAUCCACAAUCGAGGCUAAGAUUGGAAAGAUCAAUAUUAUUACAUAGGGUCAAUUAGGGUUCGAGUACUCUUGCAAAAAUCAGUCAAGAAGAUUGAAAAGAAAAUUGAUUAAACAUUUAGAAGUCAGAAGACCAUUGGAAAUCGACUCGUAAUGAAUCCUAGUUUUAGCGAAAAGUUAGAAAUAUCGAUUAAAACUAGAAAUUUCCAGAAAAACAUGUAAUAGUGCUCAGAUCUAUACUGAUCUAGAAAUGAUCGACGGUAAUAGACUAGGUUUUUAGAAACCAUAACAUAUAUGAGAGCAUAGGUUUAGAAACUAUAGAUUCUUAACAAAACAAAAAAGAAAUCUCUUACUCAUGGCCGAGAAAAAAAUGCCCGAGACGGGAUAUUGAGCGAAGUUUCAACCUAGAACUGCUUGGGUUCUUUGAGAUCUUCUCAAGGAUCAAAGGAAUCAAAUAUUCAUGGUGUGCAGAAGGCCAAGACUGGCCAGAGAAGGCGAGAAAACAUCACAAAGCUGAGAUAUACGCUGGUGACCGCGCUUGAGAACUAGGGUUUAGUGGAGAGAGUUGAGAGAGAAAGGGAGAUGAUGACGGUAGGUGAUGGAGA